rnacentral:tRNA from 1 species
GGAGAGGUGCCAGAGUGGCCGAAUGGGGUUGAUUCGAAAUCAACUGACGAGGAGACUCGUCCCAGGGUUCCCAUCCCUGCCUCUCCGCCA